GCGCAGCAGGCGCGAAUACUUUACAAUGUGCGAAAGCACGAUAAGGGAACUCUGAGUGCCUCCUAAGGAGGCUGUUCAGGUGUCUAAAAGCACCUGGAGUAAGGGCUGGGUAAGACCGGUGCCAGCCGCCGCGGUAACACCGGCAGCCCAGGUGGUAGCCACUUUUAUUGGGUCUAAGGCGUCCGUAGCCGGUUGAGUAAGUUCCUUGGGAAAUUUGGCUGCUCAACAGUCAAGCUUCCAGGGAAUACUGCUCGACUUGGGACUGGGAGAGGUCAGAGGUACUCCAGGGGUAGGGUGAAAAUCCAUUAAUCCCUGGGGGACCACCGGUAGCGAAGGCGUCUGACCAGACCAGGUCCGACGGUGAGGGACGAAGGCUAGGGUCGCGAACCGGAUUAGAUACCUCCGUAGU
rnacentral:rRNA from 1 species